CGCUCCCCACCCCACGCCCUGCCCCUCGCUCCUGAAACCGCACAGCCCCACGGCCCCCAUCCCCCCGCGCGCACGACUCCUCGCCGCCUCUCGCUUCCUCGCCGCCCCUCGCUGCCGGGCUUGCAGCUCGCUUGGCCCGCAUGGCCCUGCCGCCUCUCCCAUGCCCAGCGAGCGGUUGAACUAGACAAGAGGAGAGCUGCGGCAAGCACCAUGGUGCCGAUCUGGCCACCCCCACCCUUGCUUACACCGGAUCCGUGUCUCUCUAACCCAUCUCCUGGUCCGAUCCAAUGGCGACCGCACUUCAUCGACCUCAGGACGUCGCGAGGUCCUAGCGGCGGCGGCAGGCACCACAUGGGGAGUGGAAAGAUGGGGCAGCGGCGGCGUGCCAGAGUCUCUUGGGCUCCCGUCCCCUGUCAUAAUCAAAUCACAGCCACAACCGACGAGGCUUCAGUUAACAUUCCCAACUUAUUGGCCAAUACAACGAUAAUCAGCGCCUCACCCCGCUCCACUCCAUGCCAGCCCAACAGUCAUGUUAUUGAACACUGGAGAGAAACCGAGCACCACUUUUCACUUGAAUUAGAAACGCCAAAGGUUUGGGAUUAUGCUCGUGACGGCUACGUCCAUCAUGUAUUAUGUCCAAAGCAGAUGCCAUGUGUUGAUAUGUAAUGGUGGUGCAGUAAUGGAUGAAGCUCUAUUGAACAUGAAAGUUAAGAUGUAAUCUAUGGAAAACCAUAGGAUGAUUUCAGAAUCACCAUGGGUUGAAAGAGCAGCUGGCUAUCACGCGAUGGCCGAUUCUGUGGACGUGACUUGGAGCGUCAGAAGGUUUUCGCUAUGUUUGAUAUGAUUUCCUUUCAAAUUGAAAUGUGGUUUUUUUCUUUAUCCGAGUAGGCAAUUUUCGUUAGCGAAGUUGGUGACUCAAAAUGGAAGAAAACAUGGUAGGCAGUGUGAUGAUUGAUUUUUGAUUUUCGUGUUGGGGCGACAUGAUUGAUGUUGGUAUCAUUGGGCCAGCCUUCGGUUCUUCCAAAAAAUGGAGCGAUCCUGGUUUAGUAUUCCUGUAUUUUCUAAGAUGUGAAGUCCUGCAUAUUCUUGAGGUUUUAUCCAUUAGAACAUUGAAUGAUAUCCUUGGGCAAGUGCGUAUAAUUUUGUUUAUUUACAGUGGGAUUCAGGUGAGACCGCGAUAGAUAUACCAUUCCAUCUGAUUAGUUUCAUGCCUCCCUGUCAGAGAUUACAGGCAAAAAUCACUGAUUGAUGAUAACAUUUGGAGCUGUUGGUUUUUCGCCGGUUUGUCUGCGUUAUGAUUUUGGGUAGUUUGUUUGCACACUGAAAUCUGGUAUAUGAAUAAUUGUAAUGAAAUUAUAUCAGAGAUUCAGAGCUGCCUAAUUUAUAGCAUAGAGCCAUUAGAUGUCAUAUCCUGGAAUUUAACUAAUGUCCUUGACUUUUGAGUGUGUUUCUAGGUAACAAUUGGAAAGAAAUUGACCGUCGACCUUCAUUUUAGUUAAGUUUGUUAAUAAGUUGAGGGUGUGUAAGGGGUUAGAUGAAGUAUGCCAUAUUUCAAAAAUGGUAAUUAUCCCAAUUAAAAAGAUUUUCACUGUGUUCUUGGAAACUUGCUUAACGUACUGAAGAAUUUUCCUCUUAUCAAGCGAAUACUGGAAUUGACACUCUAUUGUAGCAAUCCUGGUGGCUGCAACUUUGCAUAUAUAGUAUGCUGAAUCCUGGAUUCCUGGUAUGACAGUCCAUAUUUACUCUUUCACUUUUGGUGAUAAGAUACUCUAUUUAUCGUUCUAGAGCUAAUAAACUUGUCAUUGUUUGGUGAUUAGCUUAUGCUUGCCAUUUUUUGUCAUCACUCAUUAGUUAGUUUGCCCUCUUAGGAGAACUUGUGAUAUGAAGUUCAAUACAAAGCAGAGCAAAAGAUAGAUAGAUAACAUGAGCUAACAUUUGAUUGAUGUACUAUCAGGUGUCAAGAUCCAUUGGUGAUAUUUACUUGAAGAAGCCGGAGUACAACAUGGACCGAAUAUUUCAGAAAAUUGGCCUUGUUAUUGCAUUGAAGAGGCUAGCUCUUACCGCUGAACCACAAAUUCAUGUUCGCAAGCUCAAACCAAUUGACCACUUUCUGAUAUUUGCCUACGAUGGUCUUUGAGAGCAUCUCAGCGAGGCUGCUGCUGUGCAAAUUGUCUUUAAGAACCCGAGAAUGCAAACCGAUUAGUCCAUGUUUCCUUGAAAGAGGCCAUGAAGACGAUAGAGCGGGGUGUGUCGCGCCAUUUCCAUGACGGCAUCAACGUCAUUUUGUGUACCUCAACAGGCAAGGGGGUCGCCAUCAAACCAGGGUCAUGGACUCGAGCAGCAACAACACCAGUGCUCCCGUCGACAUCUACUCCUACAGCUCCUUCCAAUCUGUGCAGCCACGACAGGCUUACCAUAACCCCGGGGCUAAGGUGUCCCGAUGUUUCGAUGAGAUGGUGGCUAUCGUUUUCUGUGGGAGUCGACCUUGACGAUCCGACUACGAACGUGCGAGACGUCGCGCCUUAGCAAUCGCUAAA